GACGAACGCUGGCGGCGUGCCUAAUACAUGCAAGUCGAGCGGACCAAAGGGAGCUUGCUCCUGGAGGUUAGCGGCGAACGGGUGAGUAACACGUGGGCAACCUGCCUGUAAGACUGGGAUAACAUCGAGAAAUCGGUGCUAAUACCGGAUAAUAAAAAGAACUGCAUGGUUCUUUUUGAAAGAUGGUUUCGGCUAUCACUUACAGAUGGGCCCGCGGCGCAUUAGCUAGUUGGUGAGGUAACGGCUCACCAAGGCGACGAUGCGUAGCCGACCUGAGAGGGUGAUCGGCCACACUGGGACUGAGACACGGCCCAGACUCCUACGGGAGGCAGCAGUAGGGAAUCUUCCGCAAUGGACGAAAGUCUGACGGAGCAACGCCGCGUGAGUGAUGAAGGUUUUCGGAUCGUAAAACUCUGUUGUUAGGGAAGAACAAGUGCCGUUCGAAAGGGCGGCACCUUGACGGUACCUAACGAGAAAGCCACGGCUAACUACGUGCCAGCAGCCGCGGUAAAGU
rnacentral:rRNA from 1 species